UAUAGAAGCUUUCAUGCUAAAACUAGUAACAAGAAAUUGUUUUUCUCCAAAAUUUAAGUAUAAACCNAAAAUGGACCUACCAUUGGUAAUUAACGCCUAUAAAAUCACUAUAACAACAUAACUAGAAAAUACUAUACUUUUUUACGUUAACCUUACACAAGAAAAUUUAUGGAAAGAUUAAAAGAAAGAGAAGGAACUCGGCAAAUUUUAACCCCGCCUGUUUACCAAAAACAUCGCCUCUUGAUAAAAUAUAAGAGGUCUAGCCUGCCCAGUGAUAUUCUUAAACGGCCGCGGUACCCUGACCGUGCAAAGGUAGCAUAAUCAUUUGUUCUUUAAAUAAGGACUCGUAUCAACGGCAUCACGAGGGUUAUACUGUCUCCUCUUUCCGAUCAGUGAAACUGACCUCCCCGUGAAGAGGCGGGGAUAAAAACACAAGACGAGAAGACCCCAUGGAGCUUUAAACCCAAUAACAACUCUUUCUAAAUAUACUUAAAAAUAUAGAUAUCCUGUUUAUUGGUUUUGGGUUGGGGUGACCACGGAGUAAAAAUUAACCUCCAUGACGAAUAGAUUUAUCUUUAUCCAAGAGCCACUGCUCAAAGAAUCAAAAAUUUGACGUUAUAUGAUCCGGCAACCGAUCAACGAACCAAGUUACCCUGGGGAUAACAGCGCAAUCCAUUUU
rnacentral:rRNA from 1 species